ACGGAAGGCAGCAGUGGGGAAUAUUGGGCAAUGGGGGAAACCCUGACCCAGCAACGCCGCGUGAAGGAAGAAGGCCUUCGGGUUGUAAACUUCUUUUACCAGGGACAAUAAUGACGGUACCUGGAGAAAAAGCAACGGCUAACUACGUGCCAGCAGCCGCGGUACUACGUAGGUUGCAAGCGUUGUCCGGAUUUACUGGGUGUAAAGGGCGUGUAGGCGGAGCUGCAAGUCAGAUGUGAAAUCCCGGGGCUCAACCCCGGAACUGCAUUUGAAACUGUAGCCCGUGAGUAUCGGAGAGGCAAGCGGAAUUCCUAGUGUAGCGGUGAAAUGCGUAGAUAUUAGGAGGAACACCAGUGGCGAAGGCGGCUUGCUGGACGACAACUGACGCUGAGGCGCGAAAGCGUGGGGAGCAAACAGGAUUAGAUACCCUGGUA
rnacentral:rRNA from 1 species